ACUCAAAUGAAUAGACGGGGGCCCGCACAAGCGGUGGAGCAUGUGGUUUAAUUCGAUGCAACGCGAAGAACCUUACCUGGGUUUGACAUCCCCGGACCGCCCUAGAGAUAGGGUUUCCCCUUCGGGGGCCGGGAGACAGGUGCUGCAUGGCUGUCGUCAGCUCGUAUCGUGAGAUGUCGGGUUAAGUCCCUUAACGAGCGCAACCCUUGUCCUUAGUUGCCAUCAUUUAGUUGGGCACUCUAAGGAGACCGCCGGUGUUAAACCGGAGGAAGGUGGGGAUGACGUCAAGUCCUCAUGGCCCUUAUGUCCAGGGCUACACACGUGCUACAAUGGCCGGUACAAAGGGAUGCUAACCUGCGAGGGGGAGCUAACCUCAAAAAGCCGGUCUCAGUUCGGAUUGAAGUCUGCAAUUCGACUUCAUGAAGCUGGAAUCGCUAGUAAUCGCGGAUCAGAACGCCGCGGUGAAUACGUUCCCGGGCCUUGUACACACCGCCCGU
rnacentral:rRNA from 1 species